rnacentral:rRNA from 1 species
UGGGGAAUAUUGGACACUGGGCGAAAGCCUGAUCCAGCCAUGUCGCGUGUGUGAAGAAGGUCUUCGGAUUGUAAAGCACUUUAAGUUGGGAGGAAGGGCAGUAAGCGAAUACCUUGCUGUUUUGACGUUACCGACAGAAUAAGUACCGGCUAACUCUGUGCCAGCAGCCGCGGUAAUACAGAGGGUGCAAGCGUUAAUCGGAUUUACUGGGCGUAAAGCGCGCGUAGGCGGCUAAUUAAGUCAAAUGUGAAAUCCCCGAGCUUAACUUGGGAAUUGCAUUCGAUACUGGUUAGCUAGAGUGUGGGAGAGGAUGGUAGAAUUCCAGGUGUAGCGGUGAAAUGCGUAGAGAUCGGGAGGAAUACCGAUGGCGAAGGCAGCCAUCUGGCCUAACACUGACGCUGAGGUGCGAAAGCAUGGGGAGCAAACAGG